CCCAAAAAGGGACGGAAUUGUCCCAAAAUGGGAUCAAAACACUCAAAAAGGGGUGGAAUUGUCCCAAAAAAGGCGGAAUUGUCCCCAAAGGAGGGAGCAGGAGGAGCUGCAGAAACGCUGGGAAGGGGGAAAAGCCACGCUCAGGCAGCUCUGGGGUCCCCAGGAGACACCCCGGGAUUGAGGAGGGGGAAAAAUGGGAUAAAAGUGGAAUUUUGGUGGAUAAAAGUGAAAUUUCGGUGGAUAAAA